UCGUCCUCCUGCGGAACGGGCUCGGGAACCAUGUCUUCCUUAUCUGAAAUGGUUAAAUAAGGAGUGAGCUACACUAGCCCAGUAAGAACAUCACGAUAUCUCACCGUCACGGAGGUAAAGGUGGGUAGAAAAACACAAAAAGACCAAUGGAGCAUAAUUUACAACAAACUCGUUUAUUAACAUGAAAACAUUUACCAUCCACUUACCUCGGUGGAAUUUAUGAAAACAAUAUAAGAAAAACAAUAACAUUAUCAUAAUCAUUGAAUAAUAUAAGCUGUAAAACAUAACACUUAUCACGCCUCUUGUAAUUCAAUCAUUGUACAACAUAUCCUUUUCUUAUUUACCAGCCUACUAGUAUCCGUGGGGGUCCAUAGGGGUUCCGCUACCCGUUAACCUUUAACAUUCAUAAUCAGUUUCCAGGGCCGUCCCCAUACCCCGUCCGGUAUGGGCGCCAAAACCAUGAACCUCAAUACCCCGUCCGGUAUGAGGGUGAAACGGGCCGUCCCCAUACCCCGUCCGGUAUGGGCGCCAAAACCAUAAACCUCAAUACCCCGUCCGGUAUGGGCGCCAAAACCAUAAGAUCUCCAUACCCCGUCCGGCAUGUGAGACCACAAUCCCGGUAGGGUUCCCUACGGACCCGGUCCGUCCACCAUCUCCCAGGAUAUCUAGUCAGGCUGACCCCCAUAAUACAAUUAUCAGUCUACACAAUCUUUCAUUUUCCUUUUCCUCAGUCAGCAUCAUCAAUUCACAUACAAACAAGCAAAAUAGUAAUUCAUGCCAAACAGACAACAUACAGUAUCAGUUUUUCAGUCAUUCAACCCAUGAUUAAUAAAAACGUAGUAUAUGCACACAAAUCUGUAAAAUGAACACAUCAAACCUCAUUUUGCAUUUAAGGCUGUAAACAGGCCAAAUAACAGUAAAUCACCAAUCACACUAGACUCGGGCUCCAUUAGCCACCUUAAGCAAUUUCACACAUUCGUUAAUUCAAGAAAUACCGUUUUAUCAUUUUGAACUUUAAUACAGUGAUAGGAAAUAGGGUGAGGGGUCCUUACUUGUUUUCGGGAUCCGAAUACGAUUCACAGUGCGCCUGCAGGCCGUCCCUAACUUUCCCUGAAUUUUUCCCGGGGAACUGAAACACACUAACAGUACCUGCACGUGUUCCAAAAAAAACCCAAAUUAGGCCCAGGGCCUCUUUCGGCCCAAAUCGCAACUCCGGCACGGCGGCUCCGCCGUGCUCCGGCGAUGGCGCCGCCGCUGGCGGCGGCGAGUCGCCUCGGGUUGGCUGUUUUCGGCCGAAUUCGGCCACACUCGCAUCGGUCCUUGUGAGAAAACAACCCUAGGGCCCUCGGGGGGCCAAAAAAUCACGAAAAAAUGGAGCUUACCGGCGGCGGCGCUCUCGGGUGCGGCGGCUCUCCGGCGAGGUUCGUGUUUUGGUGAUUCGGCUCCGGUCAACCUCGAUCGGCGGUCGGAAGUUCCUCCGGUACGGCGGCGGGUGGCGGCGGUCAGCCUCUGGUUCGUCUUCUCCGGCGAGCGGCGGGCGGCUAGGGUUUGUGGUCUGGUGUGGGGGUUCUAUUUAUAACCCCUUGCCUUUUGAUCUCAGCCGU
rnacentral:lncRNA from 1 species